CCCUUAGAUGUUCUGGGCCGCACGCGCGCUACAAUGGUCUUCGCAAACGGAUGCAUUCUCGAAGGAGAAUGCCAAUCUUGGAAUCUAUGCCUUGGUCGGGACAGUUGCUUGCAAUUUUUCGACUCGAACCAGGAAUUCCUUGUAAUCGUGAUUCAUCACAUCACGAUGAAUACGUCCCUGCCCUUUGUACACACCACCCGUCGCUCCUACCGAUCGAAGAGUUAGGUGAAUUGUUUUGAUCGAUAAGAUUUGACUAUGGUCAACUCUCGUUGUGAAAUUCUGUGAAUCUGACUGUUUAGAGGAAGGAAAAGUCGUAACA
rnacentral:rRNA from 1 species